GGGUCUGACGCCUGCCCGGUGCCAUUGAGCAAAAGCAAGGUGUGUAAGCAUCAAGUAUAAGCUUCGGUAAACGGCGGCUGUAACUCUGACGGUCCUAAGGUAGCGAAAUUCCUUGGCGGGUAAGUUCCGUCCUGCAUGAAUGGCGUAACGACUCCCCUACUGUCUCAAGCGCCGGCUCGGUGAAAUUGAAUUGCCCGUGAAGAUGCGGGCAUGUCGUGGCUAGACGGAAAGACCCUGUGCACCUUUACUAUAACCUUGCGUUGCUUUAGGCUUGUGAUUGCUCAGAAAAGGCGGGAGUUUGUGACAACAACUAAACACUAGUGAGAUACCGCCCUUUUGCAUGUCUAGGGUUUUUUGUAAGGCUGGUAGUUUGGCUGGGGUGGCCGCCUCCUAAAGAGUAACGGGGGUGCGCAAUGGUGAGCUCAACCCGAUUUUCGGGGUGAGAGCGUAAUGGUAUAAGCUCGCCUGACUGAAAGAUAUACAAAUCGAUCAGGAACGCAAGUUGGUCAUAGUGACCCGACGGUGCUGUGCGGAAAGGCCGUCGAUCAACGGAUAAAAGGUACGCCAGGGAUAACAGGCUAAUAACCCCUAAGAGACCAAAUCGCCGGGGUUGUUUGGCACCUCGAUGUCGGCUCAUCACAUCCUGGAGCUGUAGGCGGUUCCAAGGGUUCGGCUGUUCGCCGAUUAAAGUGGUACGUGAGCUGGGUUUAGAACGUUGUGAAACAGUUCGGUCCCUAUCUACCACGACAAGGAUUGCGGGUGGCCACCCUAGUACGGGAGGAUCGGGUGGCACUGGCCAAUGGUGACCAGUUGUUUUUCCAUGUAAAAUAAGCAUCGCUGGAUAGCUACGCCAGGAGGUAUAACUGCUGAAUGCAUAUAAAGCGGGAAGACCGCCCCAAAAUAU
rnacentral:rRNA from 1 species